rnacentral:rRNA from 1 species
CCUACGGGCCGCAGCAGUAGGGAAUCUUCGGCAAUGGACGAAAGUCUGACCGAGUAACGCCGCGUGAGUGAAGAAGGUUCUCGGAUCGUAAAACUCUGUUGGUAGAGAAGAACGUUGGUGAGAGUGGAAAGCUCAUCAAGUGACGGUAACUACCCAGAAAGGGACGGCUAACUACGUGCCAGCAGCCGCGGUAAUACGUAGGUCCCGAGCGUUGUCCGGAUUUAUUGGGCGUAAAGCGAGCGCAGGUGGUUUAUUAAGUCUGGUGUAAAAGGCAGUGGCUCAACCAUUGUAUGCAUUGGAAACUGGUAGACUUGAGUGCAGGAGAGGAGAGUGGAAUUCCAUGUGUAGCGGUGAAAUGCGUAGAUAUAUGGAGGAACACCGGUGGCGAAAGCGGCUCUCUGGUCUGUAACUGACGCUGAGGCGCGAAAGCGUGGGGAGCAAACAGGAUUAGAUACCCGGGUAGUC